rnacentral:rRNA from 1 species
UUGAUCCUGGCUCAAAGCGAACGCUGGCGGCAUGCUUAACACAUGCAAGUCGCACGAAGGUUUCGGCCUUAGUGGCGGACGGGUGAGUAACGCGUAGGAAUCUAUCCACGGGUGGGGGAUAACUUCGGGAAACUGAAGCUAAUACCGCAUGAUACCUGAGGGUCAAAGGCGCAAGUCGCCUGUGGAGGAGCCUGCGUUUGAUUAGCUUGUUGGUGGGGUAAUGGCCUACCAAGGCGAUGAUCGAUAGCUGGUUUGAGAGGAUGAUCAGCCACACUGGGACUGAGACACGGCCCAGACUCCUGCGGGAGGCAGCAGUGGGGAAUAUUGGACAAUGGGGGCAACCCUGAUCCAGCAAUGCCGCGUGUGUGAAGAAGGUUUUCGGAUUGUAAAGCACUUUCGGCGGGGACGAUGAUGACGGUACCCGCAGAAGAAGCCCCGGCUAACUUCGUGCCAGCAGCCGCGGUAAUACGAAGGGGGCUAGCGUUGCUCGGAAUGACUGGGCGUAAAGGGCGUGUAGGCGGUUUGUACAGUCAGAUGUGAAAUCCCCGGGCUUAACCUGGGAGCUGCAUUUGAUACGUGCAAACUGGAGUGUGAGAGAGGGUUGUGGAAUUCCCAGUGUAGAGGUGAAAUUCGUAGAUAUUGGGAAGAACACCGGUGGCGAAGGCGGCAACCUGGCUCAUAACUGACGCUGAGGCGCGAAAGCGUGGGGAGCAAACAGGAUUAGAUACCCUGGUAGUCCACGCUGUAAACGAUGUGUGCCAGAU